AUUGAACGCUGGCGGCAGGCCUAACACAUGCAAGUCGAGCGGAUGAAGGGAGCUUGCUCCUGGAUUCAGCGGCGGACGGGUGAGUAAUGCCUAGGAAUCUGCCUGGUAGUGGGGGAUAACGUCCGGAAACGGGCGCUAAUACCGCAUACGUCCUGAGGGAGAAAGUGGGGGAUCUUCGGACCUCACGCUAUCAGAUGAGCCUAGGUCGGAGUAGCUAGUUGGUGGGGUAAAGGCUUACCAAGGCGACGAUCUGUAACUGGUCUGAGAGGAUGAGCAGUCACACUGGAACUGAGAAACGGUCCAGACUCCGACGGGAGGCAGCAGUGGGGAAUAUUGCACAAUGGGCGCAAGCCUGAGUCAGCCAUGCCGUGUGUAUGAAGAAGGCCUUCGGGUUGUAAAGUCCUUUCAGUGGGGAGGAAGGGAGUAAAGUUAAUACCUUUUCUCAUUGACGUUACCCGCAGAAGAAGCACCGGCUAACUCCUUG
rnacentral:rRNA from 1 species